UUAUGGCCAUAUCACAUUGAAACAUUGGUUCCCAUAAAAUCACCAAAGUUAAGCAAUUUUGAACCUGUUCAGUACCUAGAUGGGUGACUACUUGAGAAAACCAGGUGCC